CUGCAUUUUCUUGCAUGUGUGCCUUUAUAAUAAUUAUUAAUUAUGAAUAAUAUCCAUCACCAUAGGUUCUGGUACUUCUGCAUGACAGGUACUUGAAAUAGCUGUCAAAAGCCCAGAAAGUCGUUAUUCAAGCAGUGAAUAUGACCUCGGGGCACUAAAAGCAUGUCGCUAUAUGCGAAUUGUCGUUAUUCAGAUAGUCGUUAUAUCCGAAGUUAAAUGUAUACAGUUAGAUGGGACUUUGCUCUGGGCAUGGAAAUUCGGUCGUUAUUCGCGAAUUGUCGUUAUAUCCGCAGUCGUUAUUAGCGAAGUUGACUGUAUACA